GGCCUAAUACAUGCAAGUCGAACGGUAACAUGAAUAGCAAUAUUUGAUGACGAGUGGCGCACGGGUGCGUAACGCGUAUGCAAUCUACCUUCAACUGGUGAAUAGCUCGAAGAAAUUCGAAUUAAUACACCAUAAUAUUAUCGAUAGGCAUCUUUUGAUAAUUAAAGUUCCGACGGUUGAAGAUGAGCAUGCGUGACAUUAGCUAGUUGGUGAGGUAACGGCUCACCAAGGCUACGAUGUCUAGGGGAUCUGAGAGGAUUAACCCCCACACUGGUACUGAGACACGGACCAGACUCCUACGGGAGGCAGCAGUAAGGAAUAUUGGACAAUGGUCGCAAGACUGAUCCAGCUAUGCCGCGUGAAGGAUGAAGGCCCUAUGGGUUGUAAACUUC
rnacentral:rRNA from 1 species